AUUUUUCAAUGUCACCAUUUUGUUCAACUCAUUAAUCAGACCCUUAAAAUCACCUGAUUCACCUCCCAUUUUUGUUCCUUGAGAGAGACUGGGAUUGAGAGCGAUAGGUUUCGAGCUUUUGCAUGCCUCUUUCUUGAUUCAAGAACUAAAAAUGGAUUCGAUGCUUAUUGGGUCCUUCCCAAGACCUUCUUCACUCGGUAUUGGUGGGAGAGAACGGACUGAUAGAUUUCAGAAGGUUUUCAUCCCAAGAUGUGUUACCAUUCCAAUUUCUGCUAGUGUAGGAUCUCAUUUAGCAGUCAAGUUUUCAAGAUGCGGAGCAUGUAACAUUCUGGAGAGACAGUCAGACAUCAGGUCUCAGCAGCAUCUUUUAGAGCAUAGUAUCAGAAGCUUUGAGGAAAGAACUAAAUUUUACAAGAGGCGUGAUAAAACAUGCUUGGUGAAUGCAGCCUCUGGAUACCCUCUGGAGUCCGAGCCUGAAGCUUGUAAACCGAAAAGCAUUUGGGACUCAUUAAAAAACUCCUUGGAUGCUUUUUACCGGUUUUCUCGUCCACACACGGUCAUAGGCACAGCAUUAAGCAUAAUUUCAGUUUCUCUCCUUGCAGUCGAGAGGCUCUCAGAUAUAUCUCCAUUGUUUUUCACUGGGGUAGUGGAGGCCUUGGUUGCUGCCCUAUUAAUGAACAUUUACAUUGUUGGUCUGAAUCAGUUAUCUGACAUUGAUAUAGACAAGGUUAACAAGCCAUAUCUUCCAUUAGCAUCAGGGGAAUAUUCAGUUGUAACCGGUGUCAUGAUUGUGACGUCUUUCUCCGUUCUGAGUUUUUGGCUUGGAUGGAUUGUGGGUUCAUGGCCAUUGUUUUGGGCUCUCUUCAUCAGUUUUUUACUUGGAACUGCUUAUUCAAUUGAUUUGCCCCUAAUGCGAUGGAAGAGAUUUGCAGUAGUUGCUGCAAUGUGCAUCCUGGUUGUGCGGGCGGUGAUUGUUCAGCUUGCAUUUUUUCUACAUAUUCAGACCCAUGUAUACAAAAGACCUGCUGUCUUGUCAAGGCCACUGAUUUUUGCUACUGCAUUCAUGAGCUUUUUUUCGGUUGUUAUAGCAUUAUUCAAGGACAUACCCGAUAUUGAUGGAGAUAAGAUGUAUGGCAUCCGCUCUUUUUCAGUGCAUUUGGGUCAAAAGCGGGUAUUUUGGAUUUGCAUUUCACUUCUUGAAAUGGCUUAUGGCGUUGCCCUUUUAGUGGGACUAGCAUCUUGCUGCCUCUGGAGUAGAGUCAUCACGGUUUUGGGACAUGCAAUUUUGGCUACAGCCCUUUGGAGACGUGCCAAAUCUAUUGAUCUGAGCAGCAAAGCUGCAAUCAUAUCUUUCUAUAUGUUUAUUUGGAAGCUCUUCUAUGCUGAGUAUUUACUCAUUCCACUUGUGAGGUGAGGAUUUGGAAAACUUUUGAGAAAGAAAGAGGGGUUCAUUGCUGAAAUGUUUUAUGGCUUCGAAGUUGUAUGGGAUGUAUGCAAGAUGCCAUCUUUAGGGCAUUCCGAUAUCGCAUUAUCUAUUUGUUCUCUUGAACUAGUUUUGCCCUCAAUAUCACGUUAUCUAUUUCUGAAAUAUAAU